CUCCCCAGCAGGCCGGGCAACAAUUCCCAGGGCCCACCGAGGGGUGCUUAGCUCGGAGGAGGGGGAGUGACGUCACAGCGAUGUUCAAAACAAGGCCUCCCCUGGCCCCACCAUAGAAAAGCACCAGGAAGGGGAAUGUGGCGAGCACUCCAGGAAAUGCUCGGAUUGGGGACCAGGUGACACUGUAGGAAUGUGUGUGCUGGGGGAUGGGAUGGUGUCCUAAAUAUGGGUCACCAGGAGCCAGAAGGAGCUCUCUUUUUUCUUUUUCUUUUUCAAGUAAAGCAGAGGAGGUGGAGAUUGGGAUGGGGGCAGUCCGGAAAAAUCACUCCCUAGGGGUGUGAGCUUAGCUCGUGUUGUGCGGAUUGUCCCCGUCACAGCCCAAUCACCUCUGUGGUGUGCCUAGACGCCCUCUCCCUUACCUCCCCGCUUUCUGGCUUCUCCAUCCUCUGGGCUCUGGGUUCAGCCCUGAAAGCCGAACUGUGGGCUGCAGUGGGGAGGCGAGGGCAGGUAGAAACCAGCUUCAGGGGGGGCUCCACCUGGCCCAGGAGCUGGGGGACAACAGAAAAGGCAGGCUUAGGGCAUGAGGGAAGGCGCUUCUCCUGCUGCACUGGGGCAGUGAUUCCUGGGGGCUCUGCACACACAGGAGGGAGGCUGCAAGUCCACAGCUGCUUUAGCAUCUUUCCCUUUGCUGGGGCAGACAGAGUGGAAGAUUAAGGCAAUUAACCCCAGAGGGCCACUAGAAAACUGUCCACUAGGCUGCCAUCACAGACCACUGGAGCAAGGUCCGCUUGGGGAUGUCUUUGAGCUUUUUAGAUUACUUAGAUAAUUGUCUUAGUUCUCCAUUCGGCCUCCUUUGCUUAGACCAGAAUCCCAGGGGUAGGGGAGGAUAUCCUUGCAUCAAUGCCCGGCAUUCGUUUUCAAACCACCAGGCCGGCAGGCAACGUUAGUCAUCGGUGCGACUUUUCAGCGGAGGAAGGAGUGGGGACCGAACAUCUGGGUGGCCGCGACCUUGGGCAGAUACUCCUUAGCUGGGGGAUUUUCAAGUAGAGGAUUUGUCAGCACAGUCCCUCCAAUUCAGCCCCGUCCUUAGUAGAAAAAUUUCUACAAUAAACGAAAAGAGCGUUUGGUUUUCGAUUGUUUUAAAGACAAAGUGAUCCAUAUUGCCUGUCUACAUGGUUGGAUUAAUCCGAUAGUUGCCCUCCUGGGGGCAGACCUCCACGGGAAGUUUGUGUGAUGGGAUAAUUUAAUGUCAUCUAAGUCCCCUGGAGGGGCGGUUCCCCUAACUACUCACCCAGGAGAAAGCCAGCCAACACCUACCUGAUCGUUCCCGCCUCGGGAUGGCCCACCUAUCGCCCCUUGGCAGGAAAGCCCCCGCCUCGAAGGGCGUUUCGGGGGCUCAGAGCCGAGCUAAGCUGCAAGAGGGGGCCAUGGGGAAUGCGGGAAGUGAAUCUUUAACUUUGGUGCCCGGCUUCAAAAGACUCAGGGCUUCUUGUGUUCAGGCAGAGGUAAAUGGAGAUUCAAACUGUCGUCUUGCAUUAACAAUCCGGAAUAAAAAUAAAAUUCGUAAAGGGAUAGAUGAUCGGAAAGAACAAAUGGUGCAUGUGUGCGCGAACGAGCCCCAGUUUCUCUCCAUCCAGGUCCCCAGCGGACUCAGAGCGGCCGCCGCACUCCACGGCCUGGGAGGACAGAGGCCCCGCAGCCUCCCAACCUCGGCUCAUGUGGGGGGCGCGCCGCGCAGGGUGGGCGAGUCCCCAGGCCCCAGAGUCUGCCGGAGCCAGGGUGCGCGGUGCGGCGGGAGCCGGCCGUCGGAGGACUGCAGGGCGAAAGCGCCUUCCUGGGGCUGGAGCAGAAGGCGUGUGCCCCUGCACGGACGCGCCUUGGCUGUGGGUGUGGGAAGAAAGGCUUUGCCCCGUGAGACAGACCCACAGACAGCCCCGGAGCCGCCGGCGGGGUGAGGUGGGCUGCAACCUUGCAGGUGGCUGGCUGUUCCCAGGUCUCCGGCCCGGCGCCGCAGCGGACCCAGGCGCCGGGGCCGCAGCCAGCCUUCCUUCCGAGUGCUCCCUUCGCGGAACCCUGCGCCCUGGGACCUUCCUUCCGACGUCCCUCACCCCGGCCGGGGAGUGGCACCAACGCGGACGCACCGCCGGGCCUCCUGCGGGUAAGGCGCGGUCGGCCCCCAGCUCUGAGCCUUCUGGGCAGGAGCCCCGGGGGCCUGGGCCGGGGCCGGUGUUUGCACCUCUCAGGACAGGGACAAGGCCGACACC
rnacentral:lncRNA from 1 species